UGAGAUUACAAUACAGAAAGGGAAGAGGAGGAGUCAGGACAGGAAGUGACAUCAGCUUCUAUUAUCAAGGCAUUUAAGAGAAGCACCCAUUUUGAUCAGGCAACUACAUUUAUAAACACAGAUAUGAGUAUAAACAAGACAAAUCAACAGUUUAGUAUGAAUUGAAACAGGACAUGUAAAUUGAACAGGGUAAAUUAUACACCUGUUACAUACAUCUAUAGAUUUAAAACGAGGAAAAGGUUUGUUACGGCACAUGCGAUGUGGGCGUGGCUAAAUGACGCUGAUGUGAAACGGAAUCCAGAGAUUCAUCGUGUUUUAUCUCCUGGUAGUCAAAGUUCAUCUCCUUCAGCCAGUCCUUCAUCUGCAUCCAGACCUGCUGUUUCUUCCAGUUCUGCUCCUUUAACCAUUUCUUCCUGGUGUUUUGAGUCACUCAGAGACUUGAUAUUAUUUUACCAUUUAUUUUUGUGGAUUUACUACUAUUAUAAUCUAUAGUUAUUUAUCAUUAGGUUGUUGUUUCAGACCCAAUUAGGAUCAUUUUUUUAAUCUUUGUACUUGAUUAUAUCUAUUGUUAAAUAACGUUUGUUAAUAUAUACAUUGAUGUGUAAUAUUGUAGCAUUUUCAGUAAUUAAAAAUAAAAUGUUUUAUUGUUUAUAGAA